rnacentral:rRNA from 1 species
UACGUAGGGGGCUAGCGUUAUCCGGAUUUAUUGGGCGUAAAGAGCGCGUAGGCGGCCAGGUAGGUCUGCUGUGAAAACUCGAGGCUCAACCUCGAGACGUCGGCGGAAACCAUCUGGCUAGAGUCCGGAAGAGGAGAGUGGAAUUCCUGGUGUAGCGGUGAAAUGCGCAGAUAUCAGGAAGAACACCCGUGGCGAAGGCGGCUCUCUGGGACGGUACUGACGCUGAGACGCGAAAGCGUGGGGAGCGAACAGG